rnacentral:rRNA from 1 species
UGCAUAUGCUUGUCUCAAAGAUUAAGCCAUGCAUGUCUAAGUACGAGCCGCUAGACGGCGAAACCGCGAAUGGCUCAAUAAAUCAGUUAUGGUUCCCAAGAAUGAUUCAAUCCUACUCGGAUAACUGUGGUAAUUCUAGAGCUAAUACGCGACAAAAACUCCGACGCCGGGCUCUCGGGUCCUUGGCGAAAGAGUGCUUUUAUUAGAUCAAAACCAGUGGCCGUUGGCGGCUCUCGGGCCGCCGGCGGCAACAAUUUUUGGUGACUCUGGAUAACCUCAUGCUGAUCGCACGGCCUCGGCGCCGGCGAUAUUUCUUUCAAAUGUCUGCCUUAUCAACUGUCGAUGGUAGGUUAUGCGCCUACCAUGGUUGCAACGGGUAACGGGGAAUCGGGGUUCGAUUCCGGAGAGGGAGCCUGAGAAACGGCUACCACAUCCAAGGAAGGCAGCAGGCGCGCAAAUUACCCACUCCCGGCACGGGGAGGUAGUGACGAAAAAUAACGAUUCAGGACUCUUCCGAGGCCCUGAGAUUGGAAUGAGUACACUUUAAAGCCUUUAACGAGGAACCAU